rnacentral:rRNA from 1 species
CAAUAGCGUAUAUUUAAGUUGUUGCAGUUAAAAAGCUCGUAGUUGGAUUUCGGAUGGGAUUUGCCGGUCCGUCGUUACGAUGUGCACUGGCCAGUCCUAUCUUGUUGUCGGGGGCUAGCUCCUUGGAUUCACUUCCUGGGACUAGGAGCUGACGAGGUUACUUUGAGUAAAUUAGAGUGUUCAAAGCAAGCCUACGCUCUGAAUACAUUAGCAUGGAAUAACACGAUAGGACUCUGGCUUAUCUUGUUGGUCUGUGAGACCAGAGUAAUGAUUAAGAGGGACAGUCGGGGACAUUCGUAUUUCAUUGUCAGAGGUGAAAUUCUUGGAUUUAUGAAAGACGAACUUCUGCGAAAGCAUUUGUCAAGGAUGUUUUCAUUAA